rnacentral:rRNA from 1 species
GCUAUUUAGGUUAGAGUUUGAUCAUGGCUCAGGACGAACGCUGGCGGCGUGCUUAACACAUGCAAGUGGAGCGACGAACCAGGCUUCGGCCUGGGGCAGAGCCGCGAACGGGUGAGUAACACGUGAGCAAUCUGCCCCGAACUCUGGGAUAACUGCGGGAAACCGCAGCUAAUACCGGAUACGACCCAAGGAGGCAUCUCCAUUGGGUGGAAAGUUUUUCGGUUCGGGAUGAGCCCGCGGCGGAUUAGCUUGUUGGUGGGGUAAAGGCCCACCAAGGCGACGAUCCGUAGCUGGUCUGAGAGGACGAUCAGCCACACUGGGACUGAGACACGGCCCAGACUCCUACGGGAGGCAGCAGUAGGGAAUCUUGCGCAAUGGGCGAAAGCCUGACGCAGCGACGCCGCGUGAGGGAAGAAGGCCUUCGGGUUGUAAACCUCUUUCAGGAGGGACGAAGCCACUCGGGUUAAUAGCCCAGAGGGUGACGGUACCUCCAGAAGAAGCCCCGGCUAACUACGUGCCAGCAGCCGCGGUAAU